AGUGAACGCUGGCGGCGUGCUUAACACAUACAAGUCGAACGAGAACGGAAUAUAGCUUGCUAUAUUUGUCAGCUAAGUGGCGCACGGGGGAGUAAUGGAUAGAUAACCUGCCCUUAAGAAAGGAAUAACAGUUGGAAACGAGUGCUAAUGCCCCAUAUGCCUUUAAUACAUAAGUAUGCAAGGGAAACGCUUUAGUGCUGAAGGAUGGGUCUGUAUGGUAUCAGCUUGUUGGUGAGGUAAUGGUUCACCAAGGCUAUGACGCCUAACUGGUUUGAGAGGAUGAUCAGUCACACUGGAACUUAGACACGGUCCAGACUCCUACGGGAGGCAGCAGUGGGGAAUAUUGCACAAUGGACGAAAGUCUGAUGCAGCAACGCCGCGUGGAGGAUGACACAUUUCGGUGCGUAAACUCCUUUUAUAUAGGAAGAUAAUGACGGUACUAUAUGAAUAAGCACCGGCCAACUCCGUGCCAGCCGCCGCCGUAA
rnacentral:rRNA from 1 species